rnacentral:rRNA from 1 species
AUUGAACGCUGGCGGCAUGCCUUACACAUGCAAGUCGAACGGCAGCACGGGAGCAAUCCUGGUGGCGAGUGGCGAACGGGUGAGUAAUAUAUCGGAACGUGCCCAGUAGUGGGGGAUAGCCCGGCGAAAGCCGGAUUAAUACCGCAUACGACCUGAGGGGGAAAGGGGGGGAUCGCAAGACCUCUCGCUAUUGGAGCGGCCGAUGUCAGAUUAGCUAGUUGGUGGGGUAAAGGCCUACCAAGGCAACGAUCUGUAGUUGGUCUGAGAGGACGAUCAGCCACACUGGGACUGAGACACGGCCCAGACUCCUACGGGAGGCAGCAGUGGGGAAUUUUGGACAAUGGGCGCAAGCCUGAUCCAGCAAUGCCGCGUGCAGGAAGAAGGCCUUCGGGUUGUAAACUGCUUUUGUCAGGGAAGAAAUCUUCUGGGUUAAUACCUCGGGAGGAUGACGGUACCUGAAGAAUAAGCACCGGCUAACUACGUGCCAGCCGCCGCAGUAAGAC